UACGGGGGAGCAAGGCGUUGUUCGGAUUUACUGGGCGUAAAGGGCGCGUAGGCGGUCAGCACAAGUCAGUUGUGAAAUCUCCGGGCUUAACUCGGAAAGGUCAACUGAUACUGUGCGACUAGAGUGCAGAAGGGGCAACUGGAAUUCUCGGUGUAGCGGUGAAAUGCGUAGAUAUCGAGAGGAACACCUGCGGCGAAGGCGGGUUGCUGGGCUGACACUGACGCUGAUGCGCGAAAGCCAGGGGAGCGAACGGG
rnacentral:rRNA from 1 species